UACAGAGGUGGCAAGCGUUGUUCGGAAUUACUGGGCGUAAAGGGCGAGUAGGUGGCCAUCUAAGUCAGACGUGAAAUCCCCCGGCUUAACCUGGGAACUGCGUCUGAUACUGGAUGGCUUGAAUCCGGGAGAGGGAUGCAGAAUUCCAGGUGUAGCGGUGAAAUGCGUAGAUAUCUGGAGGAACACCGGUGGCGAAGGCGGCAUCCUGGACCGAUACUGACGCUGAGGAGCGAAAGCCAGGGGAGCAAACGGG
rnacentral:rRNA from 1 species